GACUAACGCUGGCGGCGUGCCUAAUACAUGCAAGUCGAACGCAAUUGCGAACGUGUGAGUAACGCGUAUGUAACUGCCUCAACGCUGGGUAUAACUAUUGUUAACGAUAGCUAAUACCUCAUACUGUGCGAUGGACCUCCGUUGUAUUAGCUCGUUGGUGAUGUAAAGGCUCACCAGGGCGACUAUACAUAGCCGACCUGAGAGGGGUAUCGGCCCAACGGGGUCUGAGAGACGGCCGAGACUACUGCGGGAGGCAGAAGUAGGGGUACUUAGGCAAUUGACGGAAGUCAGACCGAGAAACGCCGCGUGAAUGAAGAAGGUUUUCGGAUCGUAAAGCUCUGUUGUUAGAGAAGCGGUAACUAACCAGAAAGGGACGGCUAACGACGUGCCAGCAGCCGCGGUAAUUC
rnacentral:rRNA from 1 species